GAUGAACGCUGGCGGCGUGCCUUAUACAUGCAAGUCGAGUGGGUUUAGACCCACGGCAAACGGGUGAGUAACACGUAGGUACUUUCCUUGUCACAGGAAUAACCCUCCGAAAGGAGGGCUAAUACCUGAUGUGAUCGCAAGAUUAAAGGGUAUCCGCAAGGAUUACCGGACAAGAAGAGGCCUGCUGCCUAUCAGCUAGUUGGCGGGGUAAAUGCCCACCAAGGCUAUGACGGGUAGCUGGUCUUAUGAGGAUGAUCAGUCACAUGGGCACUGAGACACGGGCCCAACUCCUACGGGAGGGAGCAGUAGGGAAUUUUGCGCAAUGGGCGAAAGGCGGACGCAACGACGCCGCGGGCGGGAUGAAGGCCUUCGGGUCGUAAACCGCUUUUAUAAGGGACGGACUUUGACGGUACCUUAUGAAUAAGAGGUUGCUAACUCUGUG
rnacentral:rRNA from 1 species